rnacentral:rRNA from 1 species
AGUACCUCGGUAUGUAAAGUUCUUUUAUUAAGGAAGAAAAAAGAGUGGAAAAACUCCCUUGACGGUACUUAAUGAAUAAGCCCCGGCUAAUUAUGUGCCAGCAGCCGCGGUAAUACAUAAGGGGCGAGCGUUAUCCGGAAUUAUUGGGCGUAAAGGGUGCGUAGGCGGUUUAAUAAGUCUAUAGUUUAAUUUCAGUGCUUAACGCUGUUGUGCUAUAGAAACUGUUUUACUAGAGUGAGAUAGAGGCAAGCGGAAUUCCAUGUGUAGCGGUAAAAUGCGUAAAUAUAUGGAGGAACACCAGAGGCGUAGGCGGCUUGCUGGGUCUUUACUGACGCUGAGGCACGAAAGCGUGGAGAGCAAACAGGAUUAGAUACCCUGGUAGUCCACGCCGUAAACGAUGAGUACUAAGUGUCGGGUAAAACUGGUACUGAAGUUAACACAUUAAGUACUCCGCCUGAGUAGUACGUACGCAAGUAUGAAACUUAAAGGAAUUGACGGGACUCCGCACAAGCGGUGGAUCAUGUUGUUUAAUUCGAAGAUACACGAAAAACCUUACCAGGUCUUGACAUUUUCUUGCGAAGUUAUAGAAAUAUAAUGGAGGUCAUCAGGAAAACAGGUGGUGCAUGGUUGUCGUCAGCUCGUGUCGUGAGAUGUUAGGUUAAGUCCUAAAACGAGCGCAACCCUUGUCGUUAGUUGCCAGCAUGUAAUGAUGGGGACUUUAACGAGACUGCCAAUGAAAAAUUGGAGGAAGAUGGGGAUUACGUCAAAUCAUCAUGCCCCUUAUGAUCUGGGCUACAAACGUGAUACAAUGGUGUCAAAAAAUAAUAAAAAAAAAAAAAAGGGUUAAAAAAUAAA